AAUGAAUGAAAAAGAAAGAAUUUGAGACAUCUAGAAUAUAUAUUCAGUCAAGGUAAAUGUCAAAAUGGCCUGCUGGUGAUUGAUGCUGGUUGGUCGUUUUUUGCCCCUUUUUUCCAGGAGGAGGCCGAGAAAUGGAGCAUUGGAGAGCAGAUAAACAGGUGAAUAAUGUUUGAUGGAGCAAUGAUGGAUACAGACGUAGAAGAGUCCAGACAUUGUCAUUCUGGGGAGUAGCCAUGAGAGGAGUGACAUGACCUAGGGAGGGAUAUAAUCAUUAUUAAAUUUCAACCAAGAGCUCAAGAGUGACUGAACAUAGAAAGGCAAUAAGAAGAAAUAAAUUACAGUUCUGCCUGUUUCUGACCUCUUAGUUUUGGCCACCCCUGUUCUGCUCUGUUUCUGGACUGUUACCUGGAUUCCGCCCAAUGACGACCUUGGACCUGUCUUCUAACCACGGCUUGGAUUUACCCUCCUGGAUCCAUCGGUUCCCCUGCCUGCUCUGGCUGCUGCAAGACACUGCUCCUCUUCUCUCCUGGAUCUCUGGUCCCAGCUCAGUAGUUAGACAGCAGUCAGUCCCUCUCCUCUGGACUUCAGUCCUUCUUCUGGGCUUGGACUGAGCUUUGCCAGAGAAUCCAGGGGCCCUGCCACAGCUGACAAGCAGCCGCACGCUAUUUUUAAUAAAUGCUUUGAAUCUUCCCAUUUUCUGUCUCGCCUGAAUCAGUUUAGGAUGUCAGGGAUAAUGUGA